UCACAAACACCAGAAACUAGUUGCAACUCCUGGACAGAGUACAUGGGGGUUAAUAAAUCGAGCGGGGUCAUAUCUCAGGGCCCAAUGUGUGGUAGUAGUUGUUCUUGGAUCACAAACACAUAAAACAGUUCCUAAGGACGAUUCCAAUGAGACAACCCACCAUGUAAUCCUACAUGGCCUCUCAUCGCUACCUUUACCAAAUCAUGUUCACAUACUUAGCUCUCAAUAGCAGGACAUGUUCACCACCAUCCCAAUCCAUCCUAGAUGAAUCAGACCUGACACAACUCUAAGCAUAGAAGGCAUAACAAGCAAGCAUGAAUGAGUAGGCACAUCAUGGCUCAAACAACUCCUACUCAUGCUAGUGGGUUUCAACUAUUUACUGUGGCAAAGACAGGUCAUGCAGAGGAAUGGGUUCAACUACCGCAAUAUCUAACAGUUGAAUCGUUGUUGUCCUAAUGCAGUAAAAGAGAGUAGGAGCGCGAGAGUGGGAUUGUAUCAGAAUGCUCAAAGGGGGUUUGCUUGCCUGACACUUCUGAAGAUAGUAGCUCUUCAUCGGUGUCAUCGAUCUCACCAUCGGAACAACGCCUACUGAGAGGGAACUACACUAGCAAAACACAAAAAGGAACAACAUUCAAUGCAAUGCACAACCAAAUGCAUGAUAUGCCAUAUUGAGGAGCAACGUCUUAAUAUGUACUCCCUCCGUUCCUAAAUGACAUUUAUGGGUCCAGACUUGUGGCGUUCUUUUUUGGUACGCCGGACUAUUUAGCCGAUCGCCGAACUAUGGCCUGUGAUCGCCAGACUUAUGGCGUCUUUUCUGCGAACUGUUGACUGUGAUCGCCGGACUUGUGGCGUCUUUUGUGAGCGGGAACGAACAAGUUUGAAAUUGCCGCGACCUGGGGGGCGGCGCCUGGGGGUGUGACUGGGAGCUAGGUCGCCCCAGGGGCCAAUCUAGCGCCGGCUCGCCCUCAGGCCGCUCUUUUUCGGCGCCCUGGGGGGCCGAACGGAUGGAGAUGCUCUAACAGGGGUCUGUUAGAAGCUGUGCAUUGGAGGUGGCCUCGACAGUGGCAGCCUGACUUCGGCGGCUCAUUCUUCCACCUAUGGUUCCCCCUUCACCCCUUUCCGAUGGUACUUACUGGAGAUGGUAUGCUUGCUUGGUGGAGCCAAUGGUGCAAUCAAGGGGAUUGGGGCGCUCACUCCCGAGUGUUUUUUUUAGGGAAAGCCAUUGUGGCUCUGUAUAUUAAUUUGGAAUAAUAUCUUCAUAAUCUGCAAGAAUUGCAAGUAAGAAGCUGUAGACUUGCCCUUUG